AGAACCUGGUGCAGAGGCAUGUAGGGGAGAAGCAAGCAUUCAGGAAAGAAGCAUGCAGAGAGCAAACACUGAAGGGAGCAGCACUUGGAAGCAGAGAAGAAGCAUCGAUCUAUUUGGGAAGGUUUUCCGCAGUACUUGAAAAACAGGAAAUUGGCAUCGAGACACAGCAAAAAUCAAAGUGAGCGUGGAAAAUCCCUCCUCUUUGGCCUCACAAUGCAGAAAAGGAAAAUGCUAGCGGCUUGGUGUGACACUGGGGACACACGACAAAGAGCGGCAGGAGCUAAGCUUAGCUAGGCCUUUCAGCAAGAAUAAGAGAACGAUCGAAAUAAUGGCAGCUUACGGCUGUACCUAAGACAUCGGACAAGAAAUCAGAUCAAAUUGGGGUGAAGCGUUGGAGCAGCUGCCCCAGAUGUUUGAGGCCUCACCCCUUAAUGAUGCUCCCGGAGACCAGAAGGGGGAUACUGCCCGGUUUCAACAAUGUGAACAUGUGACAAAGCAAACUCUAGACCACAUUAAGAAUGGCGAACUAACUUAAGGACGGACUGUUCUUUUCACCAAUUGGCAGGCUUCGGACCCAGACCUCGAGAAGGUGGCCCAACCUGGGUCUUCCUUUCCGAUUCCUGCAUAGAGACCCCAGCCGUGAUCAUAGGAGAGUAGGUGUUGGCUUCUUGGAAGGAGAGUUCCGACUCUAUCGUAGGAGUGGCUUGCAUCCUUGCAAUUUGUCUUCACUCCCUCUAGCAAUGAAGGAAUCUAGCGCGUGCAGAUUUCCUUCUCUGCCAGCUUAAUAUCACAGACCAGUUUGUUCCUAAGUUUCUUCAUCGUGGAGAUCAGUUUAAAUAUACAAGAAUUGUUCGGUCCUUCCUUGCUGCCCCAGCGAUGGUAUGCCCCUCCCCCCUCCCCCCCCGCAACGAGCACAUUCCAUCCCAUCGCAAGGUCCCAUGUGGAUUCAUUGGGGAUUGAUUCACAGUUUGCAAUACAAAUACCCUGAUACAUCACUUACUGACUAUUAAGUAUUGGAUUAUUCUACCACUUUUCAAUGUCUUAAAACCAAGUUUUUCAUCCGCGUUGCUUGGAGCAAUCAGAGUAUGACUUUCCUUCUUCCUCCCUCCCUUCCUCUCUCCCCGUCUUUCUUUCUCUUUUGAAAGCAGAAGCGCUGAGAGGACGCAGGAUUUUAUGCCCUCUUGGCGUGCAGCAUUUCGAUGAGCAGAUUAUUACAGGGCACAUCCCCGUUCAGGUGUUUGUAGUAGAGGUAUUCUUCGGCCUGCAUGCUGAUGGCCCGGAUCUCUGGGAGCCGAAGGAGCAACUGCCCAAACUUGUCUGUCUGCUGGGGGUAGUUGCACAUUAUGUAAUCCAGCAAAGCAGCAUUCACUUGCUCCUGCACCCCUUCCACCAGCUGGAAGUUCUCAAGGUUUUUGACAUCUGGAUGUAAAACAACAAAAACAACAACAAAGAGAAUGAAAAAAACCCAACAUUUCAGUGGCAUUUUAAAUCCUGUUUACAACCACGGCAUGCUCGCUUAAUGGCUGAGUUUUCCCUCCCACCGGAAGCACCCUUGGCAGGUUGCUGAACAUUCAGGAACCCCCCUCAUCAAGUUUCCUGGGAAAAUGAUCACAAAAGAGCUCUUAGCUGAGCGUCUGGUUGAAAUUUUGCAUACACUUCAAAUCAAUUAGACGCCGAUGGAUUUUGACCAAGGUCAACUCUUUUUGUAUCGUACCGAAGGAAAGGUUGAGGAUUCUGAAAGUAGAAGACCAUAAUAUAUUGCCAGCAAAUGAGUCCCCAGAGAAAGACAUAUCUUAACCCAGUAUAUUACACAAUUCAUAUAAUUCUGUAUUAAUUUUUCUGACCCAAGGUGAAAUCUGUGUCCAGGGUAUGAUGUAGUUAAUUCUAAUAAAAAGUGACAGGGUUCUUGUUUCUGUUUGACAUUUUCUAAAUGAUUCUGAAAGCCUUUGACUUGUCUGGCCUAUGCUAAUGAACCAUCUGGUACACUCCAGUGGCUGCCAAAAUAAUCUUUGCUACUAGCAACUCUCUAAAAUAUAUAUCUCAGUGACUAAUGAUCUUUAGAAAAUGAAAGCCUUGUCCGUUAGGCAAAAAUACAAGACAGCGUACUGCCCUUUAACCUGACUGUAGAUCUGAAUUCUGACACUUUGAUUUCUUGUUCCUUGGGUUCAACUCUGUCAUAUUUGAAUGGUGGUUCUGGGUGGUUCACUAGGCUACAACUGGUGACAGUCGAUAUUUCUGCGAUUUCUUUAGCAUCAAAAUAAAAGGGAUAAGAACACAACCCAUCUCUCCCAUGAAAA